rnacentral:rRNA from 1 species
UACGUAGGGUGCAAGCGUUGUCCGGAAUUAUUGGGCGUAAAGAGCUCGUAGGCGGUCUGUCACGUCGGCUGUGAAAACCCGAGGCUCAACCUCGGGCCUGCAGUCGAUACGGGCAUCACUGGAGUUCGGCAGGGGAGACUGGAAUUCCUGGUGUAGCGGUGAAAUGCGCAGAUAUCAGGAGGAACACCGGUGGCGAAGGCGGGUCUCUGGGCCGAUACUGACGCUGAGGAGCGAAAGCGUGGGGAGCGAACAGG